GACAGAGGUCCCGAGCGUUAGGCGGAAUCACUGGGCUUAAAGCGUGUGUAGGCGGAUCGUUAAGUGCCUUGUGAAAUCCCACGGCUUAACCGUGGAACUGCUGGGCAUACUGGCGGUCUUGAGCAACCUAGGGGCAAGCGGAACAAAUGGUGGAGCGGUGAAAUGCGUAGAUAUCGUAAGGAAGACCAGUGGCGAAGGCGGGUCUCUGGACAGUUCCUGACGCUGAGGCACGAAGGCCAGGGGAGCAAACGGG
rnacentral:rRNA from 1 species